UACGGAGGGUGCGAGCGUUGUCCGGAAUUACUGGGCGUAAAGGGCUCGUAGGCGGCCAACUAAGUCACACGUGAAAUCCCCAGGCUUAACCUGGGAACUGCGUGUGAUACUGGAUGGCUUGAAUCCGGGAGAGGGAUGCAGAAUUCCAGGUGUAGCGGUGAAAUGCGUAGAUAUCUGGAGGAAUACCGGUGGCGAAGGCGGCAUCCUGGACCGGCAUUGACGCUGAUGAGCGAAAGCUAGGGGAGCAAACGGG
rnacentral:rRNA from 1 species